rnacentral:rRNA from 1 species
GGCACGCUAACACAUGCAGUCGAACGGAUCCUUCGGGAUUAGUGGCGGACGGGUUAAACGUGGGAACGUGCCCUUUGGUUCGGAACAACUCAGGUAAACUUGAGCUAAUACCGGAUGUGCCCUUCGGGGGAAAGAUUUAUCGCCAUUGGAGCGGCCCGCGUCUGAUUAGCUAGUUGGUGGGGUAAAGGCCCACCAAGGCGACGAUCAGUAGCUGGUCUGAGAGGAUGAUCAGCCACAUUGGGACUGAGACACGGCCCAAACUCCUACGGGAGGCAGCAGUGGGGAAUCUUGCGCAAUGGGCGAAAGCCUGACGCAGCCAUGCCGCGUGAAUGAUGAAUGUCUUAGGAUUGUAAAAUUCUUUCACCGGGGACGAUAAUGACGGUACCCGGAGAAGAAGCCCGGCUAACUUCGUGCCAGCAGCCGCGGUAAUACGAAUGGGGCUAGCGUUGUCGGAAUACUGGGCGUAAGGGAGCGACGA